rnacentral:rRNA from 1 species
GACGAACGCUGGCGGCGUGCCUAACACAUGCAAGUCGAACGGAGUGUUACGCUGAAAUGAAGGUAGCUUGCUACUGAAUUUUCUUGUGACACUUAGUGGCGGACGGGUGAGUAACGCGUGAGCAACCUGCCUUUCAGAGGGGGACAACAGUUGGAAACGACUGCUAAUACCGCAUAACAUGUGACUGUGGCAUCACAGACACAUCAAAGAUUUAUCGCUGAAAGAUGGGGCUCGCGUUGGAUUAGAUAGUUGGUGAGGUAAACGGCUCACCAAGUCGACGAUCCAUAGCCGGACUGAGAGGUUGAACGGCCACAUUGGGACUGAGACACGGCCCAGAUCCUACGGGAGGCAGCA